AGUCCUACCCGGUUAAAUAAAGGUGUUCUCAACUAGUCCUACCCGGUUAAAUAAAGGUGUUCUCAACUAGUCUACCCGGUUAAAUAAAGGUGUUCUCAACUAGUCUACCCGGUUCAAUAAAGGUGUUCUCAACUAGCCUACCUGGUUAAAUAAAGGUGAAAUCAAUAACAAUACCUGUAUAGCACAUGUUCAUAUGAAGUGGUCUCUGUUUGAAGUCAUCUUUUUGUACAGUUGUCCCCGUAUGAGUUUCAUGUCUAUGUGCGUUUGAGUGUUGUACUGCCUGGUUUCCUAGCCCGCCUGCUUGCCGUUAGGCUAGCCUGGUGCCAACUCUGUUUUGCGUUAUCACGUCAACUCCUUGUCAUAAUGGCACACACAUCUGGGAACAGGCUACAAUUCAGUAGGAAAUACAGCCAUCGAUUUCAUCCUCAAUUACCGUACUGAAUUUCAGUAACUACUCUUGCUCUCCCCCAGGACUAGGGUGAUGUUGACCCGGGAUGCUGAUCUUGGGUCAGUUUUGCAUUUCACUAAUGCUUAGGCUUGGGGAAGGUGGAAUCUGAUCCUAGAUCUGUAUCUAGGGGAAUCUGAUCCUAGGUCUGUAUAGUAGGGGAAUCUGAUCCUAGAUCUGUAUCUAGGGGAAUCUGAUACUAGAUCUGUAUCUAGUGGAAUCUGAUCCUAGAUCUGUAUCUAGGGGAAUCUGAUCCUAGAUCUGUAUCUAGGGGAAACUGAUCCUAGAUCUGUAUCUAGGGGAAUCUGAUCCUAGAUCUGUAUCUAGGGGAAACUGCGCCUUGGUGUUACCAGUCUUUUUCUCUGCAGUUUUCCUUUAUAGAUCGUGG
ensembl:lncRNA